rnacentral:rRNA from 1 species
GUUAUAGGGACAAGUGAAUAAGUGCACAUGGCGGAUGCCUUGGCGAUUACAGGCGAUGAAGGACGUAGUAGCUUGCGAUAAGCUGCGGGGAGUUAGCAAACAAACUUUGAUCCGCAGAUUUCCGAAUGGGGAAACCCACCCUUUUAGGGUAUCACUCACUGAAUACAUAGGUGUGUGAGGCGAACGCGGCGAACUGAAACAUCUAAGUAGCUGCAGGAAAAGAAAUCAACCGAGAUUCCCAAAGUAGUGGCGAGCGAAAUGGGAAGAGCCUGUACGUGAUAGUCGUUUUGAUAGUGGAAUCCUCUGGAAAGUGGAACCAUAGCGGGUGAUAGUCCCGUACACGAAAUCAAAACGGUGGUACUAAGCGUACGACAAGUAGGGCGGGACACGAGAAAUCCUGUCUGAAUAUGGGGGGACCAUCCUCCAAGGCUAAAUACUCGUAAUCGACCGAUAGUGAACCAGUACCGUGAGGGAAAGGCGAAAAGAACCCCGGGAGGGGAGUGAAAUAGAUCCUGAAACCGUGUGCAUACAAACAGUAGGAGCAGACUUGUUCUGUGACUGCGUACCUUUUGUAUAAUGGGUCAGCGACUUACAUUCAGUGGCAAGGUUAACCAGAUAGGGAAGCCGUAGAGAAAUCGAGUCCGAACAGGGCGAUAGUCGCUGGGUGUAGACCCGAAACCAAGUGAUCUACUCAUGGCCAGGAUGAAGGUGCGGUAACACGCACUGGAGGUCCGAACCCACUAAUGUUGAAAAAUUAGGGGAUGAGCUGUGGGUAGGGGUGAAAGGCUAAACAAACUUGGAAAUAGCUGGUUCUCUCCGAAAACUAUUUAGGUAGUGCCUCAAGUAUCACCAUCGGGGGUAGAGCACUGUUAUGGCUAGGGGGUCAUCGCGACUUACCAAACCAUUGCAAACUCCGAAUACCGAUGAGUGCGAGCUUGGGAGACAGACGUCGGGUGCUAACGUCCGGCGUCAAGAGGGAAACAACCCAGACCGCCAGCUAAGGUCCCAAAGAUUGGCUAAGUGGAAAACGAAGUGGGAAGGCUAAAACAGUCAGGAUGUUGGCUUAGAAGCAGCCAUCAUUUAAAGAAAGCGUAAUAGCUCACUGAUCGAGUCGUCCUGCGCGGAAGAUGUAACGGGGCUAAGCCAGUCACCGAAGCUGCGGAUAUCCGCANNNNNNNNNNNNNNNNNNNNNNNNNNNNNNNNNNNNNNNNNNNNNNNNNNNNNNNNNNNNNNNNNNNNNNNNNNNNNNNNNNNNNNNNNNNNNNCCGCAAGGAUAUGGUAGGAGAGCGUUCUGUAAGCCUGCGAAGGUGGCUUGUAAAGGCUGCUGGAGGUAUCAGAAGUGCGAAUGCUGACAUGAGUAGCGAUAAUGGGGGUGAAAAGCCCCCACGCCGUAAGCCCAAGGUUUCCUGUUCAACGUUCAUCGGAGCAGGGUGAGUCGGCCCCUAAGGCGAGGCAGAGAUGCGUAGCUGAUGGGAAGCAGGUUAAUAUUCCUGCACCGUCGUAUGAUGCGAUGGGGGGACGGAUCGCGGAAGGUUGUCUGACUGUUGGAAUAGUCAGUUUCUGAUUCAUAGAAGGUGCUUAGGCAAAUCCGGGCACGUAAUUCAAGGGAUUGGGACGAGUGAACUUGUUCACGAAGCAAUCGGAAGUGGUUCCAAGAAAAGCCUCUAAGCUUCAGUCAUACGAGACCGUACCGCAAACCGACACAGGUGGGCGAGAUGAGUAUUCUAAGGCGCUUGAGAGAACUCGGGAGAAGGAACUCGGCAAAUUGGUACCGUAACUUCGGGAAAAGGUACGCCCUUGUAGCUUGGCUGAUUUACUUCAGUAGGGCGAACGGGUUGCAAUAAACUGGUGGCUGCGACUGUUUAAUAAAAACACAGCACUCUGCAAACACGAAAGUGGACGUAUAGGGUGUGACGCCUGCCCGGUGCUGGAAGAUUAAAUGAUGGGGUGCAAGCUCUUGAUUGAAGUCCCAGUAAACGGCGGCCGUAACUAUAACGGUCCUAAGGUAGCGAAAUUCCUUGUCGGGUAAGUUCCGACCUGCACGAAUGGCGUAACGAUGGCCACACUGUCUCCUCCCGAGACUCAGCGAAGUUGAAGUGUUUGUGAUGAUGCAAUCUACCCGCGGCUAGACGGAAAGACCCCAUGAACCUUUACUGUAGCUUUGCAUUGGACUUUGAAUCAAUCUGUGUAGGAUAGGUGGGAGGCUUUGAAGCGGGGACGCCAGUUCUCGUGGAGCCAUCCUUGAAAUACCACCCUGGUUCAUUUGAGGUUCUAACCUUGGCCCGUUAUCCGGGUCGGGGACAGUGCAUGGUAGGCAGUUUGACUGGGGCGGUCUCCUCCUAAAGUGUAACGGAGGAGUUCGAAGGUACGCUAGGUACGGUCGGACAUCGUGCUAAUAGUGCAAUGGCAUAAGCGUGCUUAACUGCGAGACUGACAAGUCGAGCAGGUACGAAAGUAGGACAUAGUGAUCCGGUGGUUCUGUAUGGAAGGGCCAUCGCUCAACGGAUAAAAGGUACUCUGGGGAUAACAGGCUGAUUCCUCCCAAGAGUUCAUAUCGACGGGGGAGUUUGGCACCUCGAUGUCGGCUCAUCACAUCCUGGGGCUGUAGCCGGUCCCAAGGGUAUGGCUGUUCGCCAUUUAAAGUGGUACGUGAGCUGGGUUUAAAACGUCGUGAGACAGUUUGGUCCCUAUCUGCCGUGGGCGUUGGAAAUUUGAAGGGGGCUGCUCCUAGUACGAGAGGACCGGAGUGGACAGACCUCUGGUGUACCGGUUGUCACGCCAGUGGCAUUGCCGGGUAGCUAAGUCUGGAAGAGAUAACCGCUGAAAGCAUCUAAGCGGGAAACUUGCCUUAAGAUGAGAUUUCCCAGAGCCUUGAGCUCUUUGAAGGGUCGUUCGAGACCAGGACGUUGAUAGG